rnacentral:rRNA from 1 species
UACGUAGGGUGCGAGCGUUGUCCGGAAUUACUGGGCGUAAAGAGCUCGUAGGUGGUUUGUCGCGUUGUUCGUGAAAACUCACAACUCAAUUGUGGGCGUGCGGGCGAUACGGGCAGACUGGAGUACUGCAGGGGAGACUGGAAUUCCUGGUGUAGCGGUGGAAUGCGCAGAUAUCAGGAGGAACACCGGUGGCGAAGGCGGGACUCUGGGCCGAUACUGACGCUGAGGAGCGAAAGCGUGGGGAGCAAACAGG